GCAUAUCAAUAAGCGGAGGAAAAGAAACCAACAGGGAUUGCCUCAGUAACGGCGAGUGAAGCGGCAACAGCUCAAAUUUGAAAUCUGGCCGCAAGGUCCGAGUUGUAAUUUGUAGAGGAUGCUUUUGGCGAGGUGACUUCCGAGUUCCCUGGAACGGGACGCCAUAGAGGGUGAGAGCCCCGUACGGUCGUGCCACCGAGCCUCUGUAAAGCUCCUUCGACGAGUCGAGUAGUUUGGGAAUGCUGCUCUAAAUGGGAGGUGUACGUCUUCUAAAGCUAAAUACCGGCCAGAGACCGAUAGCGCACAAGUAGAGUGAUCGAAAGAUGAAAAGCACUUUGAAAAGAGGGUUAAAAAGUACGUGAAAUUGUUGAAAGGGAAGCAUUCAUGACCAGACUUGGGCUUGGUUGAACAUCCGGCGUUCUCGCCGGUGCACUCUGCCAGCUCAGGCCAGCAUCAGUUUGCCCCGGGGGACAAAGGCGGCGGGAAUGUGGCUCCCUACGGGGAGUGUUAUAGCCCGUCGU
rnacentral:sRNA from 1 species